CUUGCUCUGUCGCCAGGCUGGAGUGCAGUGGCACAAUCUCGGCUUAAUGCAACCUCCACCUUCCGGGUACAAGCGAUUCUCCUGCCUCAGCCUCCCAAGUAGCUGGGACUACAGGCGCACACAUCACGCACGCCCAGCUAAUUUUUGUAUUUUUAGUAGAGAUGGGGUUUUACCAUGUGGGCCAGGAUGGUCUCGAUCUCCCGACCUCAUGAUCCUCCCAUUUUGGCCUCCCAAAGCUCUGGGAUUACAGGUGUGAGCUACUGUGCCCGGCCCACUUAGUUAUUUUAAGAUAGGGUCUUGCUCUGUUGUCCGAGCUGGAGUGCAAUGGUGCUAUCAUAGCUCACUGCAACCUCGACCUUCUAGGCUCAAGUGAUCCUCCUGCCUCAGCCUCCUGAGUAGCUAGGACUCCAGGUGUGUGAAAUCAUACCCAGAUAAUUUUUAAAUUUUUAGUAGAGAUGGGUCUCACUAUAUUACCCCAGCUAGUCUGCAACUCCUGACCUCAAGUGGUCCUCCCACCUUGGUUUCCCAAAGUGCUGGGAUUACAGGUGUGAGCCACUGUGCCAGACUUUUACUUUUAAUAUUUGCAAUGUUAGCAUCUGAAAGCUGACUAAGCUUGUUUUCCUAGUGUGAAAUUCAGGAUUUAUAAAUUCAAAUAGACUUAUGAAACAAAUAUAUGAUGUAUAGAAUUUGUCACUGCUAACUUCUAACUGAAU
rnacentral:lncRNA from 10 species